rnacentral:rRNA from 1 species
GGGUAACAUGAUCUGCUUGCAGAUUGAUGACGACCGGCGCACGGGUGCGUAACGCGUAUGCAACCUACCUUAUACAGAGGGAUAGCCCAGAGAAAUUUGGAUUAAUACCUCAUGGUACUGAGUUACUGCAUGGUAAUUAGUUAAAACUCCGGUGGUAUAAGAUGGGCAUGCGUUAGAUUAGCUAGUUGGUAAGGUAACGGCUUACCAAGGCGACGAUCUAUAGGGGGUCUGAGAGGAUGAUCCCCCACACUGGAACUGAGACACGGUCCAGACUCCUACGGGAGGCAGCAGUAGGGAAUAUUGGUCAAUGGAGGCAACUCUGAACCAGCCAUGCCGCGUGUAGGAAGAAGGCGUUCUGCGUCGUAAACUACUUUUAUAUAGGAAGAAACGGUUCUUGCGAGAAGCUAUGACGGUACUAUAAGAAUAAGGACCGGCUAACUCCGUG